CAACCCGCGAGGCGCGGUCUGGAGGAAGCCGCUAGCAAAACUGCGAGCUGAUGAACAAGAACAUCAUAUGAGGCGUAGGCCGGAGGCGAGUUGGCACAAGACGACGAAGCCGCGUGAUCUAACGGCCACCGUAAAUGAUGCAGUUGUGCAGUGAAAGUGCAUGUC
rnacentral:ncRNA from 1 species